GCAGCACUGUUGCGAUUCACAGAACCAACAAAGCCAGAACUUCGGAGACAAGUGGGCAAGCUUGAAUUGUAUCCAUCGCUUGUUAGAGUCCUCUCCAGUGGCAGCUCACUUGCGAAGAAGCGAACAGCAAUUGCACUUGCACAGUUGUCCCAAUCCACUAGUGUAUCAGUGUCUGAUGCAACCAUUGUGGCAAAUCAGGCUAACAACUCUGUGCCACUGUUGCGGUUGAUGAACCUCUUCCCCAACAUGCCUUGGUGUUGCUCAACCUCAUCAGAGAUUGAAAAUCUAUGUGCUGUUCACGGUGCCGCUUGUUUACAUAGACACACAUUCUGCCUUAUUAAGGCAAAUGCGGUAAAGCCGCUUGUUCGGACAUUGAGUGACACAGAAACUGGUGUGGCAGAGGCUGCUCUAAUGGCACUCGAAACAUUGCUAACAGACAACAGCAGUCCAUCCCAUGCAACUGCUGCUAUUGUAGACAGUGAGGGUGUGGUGGCCAUCCUACAACUUUUGGAGAAGGGAACCCUCCCUGCCAAAACCAAAGCCCUAGACCUCUUCCAUGAAAUCGUAAAGCACAAACCGUUACAGAUCAGUGACCAAUUAUUUCAAAGGUCUGAGAGGAUCCUUGUUCAACUUCUCCAGGAAGAUGCGCUCAAAAAGAAGGUGGGGCUGGUGCUUAGACAGAUGAAUAUCAUGCCAGAUCAAUCGUCCUACUUCUGAAUUGGUUUCCAUUUGCAAACAAGAAACUAAAACAGAAACAUCUGGUUUACAACGGCAUAUCGAGAACAUCUCUCAGUGACAUGAUGGCUUCAGCCCCCUUACUACUGGCUUUGAUUUUAGGUGUAGCUCUACUGACGAGUAAGCCUGAAGAUGCCAAAUUUACACGCUUGCAAAUAUUUUUUUGUAUAUAUUCUAGAAAAAACUGAAUGCAAAUGUUUCAUAACUUCAUAGAUUGAUUAGGAAAGCAUUUAUACUAUUAUUGAUGUACAUAAUUUUCAAUUUGUCAUUGUUAGACAUGUGCAGAAGCUGUACUGUUCCAAACCAAAUUCCUUCAAUGAAAUCAUUAAAAAUUUUCUAGCUGCAUUGACAACAAUGAAAGCAUAAUUUGG
rnacentral:misc_RNA from 1 species